CUGCCCUCAAAUCCCUGCUAUCUCCUGUGGCGGCGCCAUCUACAAUCCGCCCCAAAUUAAUACCAUAAAAUCCUCACAUCCUCACCUUUCCAAUAUCAAAACCAUUUCUCUCGAAUCUUUCCACAUCUUUUCGAAUUUUUAAUCUAAGUUCGAAACCCUAAAAUCCCAAAUUGCCUCACUUUUGAAUAUGUGCAUGUAAGGCUUAAUCCCCGAGCUUCCUAAAGUUUCUCAAGUUCGAUUUAACACAAAGCAAUGGUAUUCAACAAGCGAUUAGCAUUAUUUUUGGUUAAAUCAAGAUAUCCAAUGUUAUUUUGAGGUUAAUCGGAAAGUUUUCUUCAUUUUUCUAUCUGUGUUGUGUUGUUUCAUCCUCCUGCUCCUUUUCUUUUCUUCAUUUUUCUAUCUGAUAAAAUUACUGAAUUUGGUUUGGGUCAGUUUAAUUAUUUUGGCCUUAAGGCCAUCCUCGACUCCACUUCAAGAGAAUUGUUAAGUUCUAGGGUCAGAACUGACACAUGUGAUAGGCUGGGGUAAACGGGGGGUUUAAGGAUUAGUUUAGGGAAUUUAGUUUGAGGAAUCUUUUAUAACUGACUAGGAAACUUCUACGAAGGUGGGUUUGGGCUGUUUUAGAAAGCUGAUUUUUAAAUAAGGGAUUGAAUAGCAAAAACGAAAAUUGAAAAAGGAUUAAAGAGCAAAAAACUUAACUCAUUUCUGCUUCCCUAAAGCUCCCUAUAAAGGGCAUUGUUUCUUCACUCUCAAGGAAGAAUUUUUAGAGACUAAAAAAUACUAAAAUUUCAGAAGUAACUGAGUUUCUUUAAGUUCUAGAAAAACUGAAUAUUGCUCAAAUUCUUCUUGGUUUUGGUUCUCUGAUUGUCUUGGUUAGCUAGAACUUCUGAAAAGAUUCAAAUUUGUGCACCUGGGUAGAAAAUAUAGUUUGAUUUUGGGGUUUAAAAGUUUGAUUUGAGCUGUUGUUUGGGUGAUGUUCUAUUGCUGGUUUUAGGCUGAUUCUGCUGCUGCUGUAGCUAACUUUCCAUUCCUUUUGGUUCCCUUUUAAUUUCAAGGUAUUUUUCAAUACAUGAACAACAAGUGAUUGUAAAUAUGCAUUUCGAUUGGAAACCUGACUAAAUACAAGUUUUGUUUUAAGUUUUACUUCUUCUGUUUCUUCCAUUUCUGUAGCAUUCUGUAGUAAAUCUUACACUAUACAUGUUAUCUCAGCUUUCUCAUGUCAUUAAUAUGCUGUUAAUAUGAAUCAGUGUUAUUUUAGAGUUUAGGUGUUAAUGUUGGAUUCUGUUACUAUUAGUAUUGAUAAAGGAUUUAGCUGAGGCUAAAUUUCACAUGCUCAUUCGUUGAAUUAGCUUAGAAUGGAGUUUAAGCAUGAACAUAUGGUUGGUUUUAUUAUCAGUGUAAUUGAGGUCAAAAAAAGUGUUGCUUUUUUA
rnacentral:lncRNA from 1 species